AUUCCAGCUCCAAUAGCGUAUACUAAAGUUGUUGCAGUUAAAAAGCUCGUAGUUGAAUUUCUGGGUGUGAUAGGCGGUCCGUGUGCAUAACAUGUGUACCUCCCUCUCAUGCCCAUCCUCGAAGUGAAUAUGCAUUGCCUUAACUGUGUCGUGUAUAGGACCUUCGUCAUUUACUGUGAGCAAAAUAGAGUGUUCAAAGCAGGCUUAUGCCGUUGAAUAUAUUAGCAUGGAAUAAUAAGAUAGGCUCUUGAGUGCUACUUUGUUGGUUUAUACACUUAGAGAAUGAUUAACAGGGACAGUUGGGGGUAUUCAUAUUUACAUGUCAGAGGUGAAAUUCUUGGAUUUAUAGAAGACGAACUACUGCGAAAGCAUUUACCAAGGAUGUUUUCAUCA
rnacentral:rRNA from 1 species